AGUGAACGCUGGCGGUAUGCCUAACACAUGCAAGUCGAACGACAGCACAAUAAGCGCUUGCUCUUACGGGUGGCGAGUGGCGGAUGGGUGAGGAAUACAUCAGAAUCUACUUUUUCGUGGGGGACAACGUAAGGAAACUUACGCUAAUACCGCAUACGACCUACGGGUGAAAGCAGGGGAUCUUCGGACCUUGCGCGAUUGAUUGAGCCGAUGUCGGAUUAGCUAGUUGGCGUGGUAAAGGCCCACCAAGGCGACGAUCCGUAGCUGGUCUGAGAGGAUGAUCGGCCACACUGGAACUGAGACACGGUCCAGACUCCUACGGGAGGCAGCAGUGGGGAAUAUUGGACAAUGGGCGAAAGCCUGACGCAGCCAUGCCGCGUGGGUGAAGAAGGCCUUCGGGUUGUAAAGCCCUGUUGUUGGGAAAGAAAAGCAGCAGGUGAAUACCCCGCUGUUCUGACGGUACCCAAAGAAUAAGCAACGGCUAACUUCGUG
rnacentral:rRNA from 1 species